rnacentral:rRNA from 1 species
GAUGAACGCUAGCUACAGGCCUAACACAUGCAAGUCGAGGGGCAGCGGGAAGGAAGCUUGCUUUCUUCGCCGGCGACCGGCGCACGGGUGCGUAACGCGUAUCGAACCUACCCUUUACUCGGGAACAGCCUUGCGAAAGCAAGAUUAAUGCCCGAUGCUCCGCGUUUGCCGCAUGGCAAAUUCGGCAAAGAUUUAUUGGUAAAGGAUGGCGAUGCGUCCCAUUAGUUAGUUGGCGGGGUAACGGCCCACCAAGACGACGAUGGGUAGGGGUUCUGAGAGGAAGGUCCCCCACAUCGGAACUGAGACACGGUCCAAACUCCUACGGGAGGCAGCAGUGAGGAAUAUUGGUCAAUGGGCGCAGGCCUGAACCAGCCAAGUCGCGUGAGGGAAGACGGUCCUACGGAUUGUAAACCUCUUUUGUCGGGGAGUAACGUGCGGGACGCGUCCCGUAUUGAGAGUACCCGAAGAAAAAGCAUCGGCUAACUCCGUG